GGGUUGUGAGGUUAAGCGACUAAGCGUACACGGUGGAUGCCCUGGCAGUCAGAGGCGAUGAAGGACGUGCUAAUCUGCGAUAAGCGUCGGUAAGGUGAUAUGAACCGUUAUAACCGGCGAUUUCCGAAUGGGGAAACCCAGUGUGUUUCGACACACUAUCAUUAACUGAAUCCAUAGGUUAAUGAGGCGAA
rnacentral:rRNA from 1 species